rnacentral:rRNA from 1 species
GAUGAACGCUGGCGGCGUGCUUAACACAUGCAAGUCGAACGGUGAACGAGGGAGCUUGCUCCCUCCGGAUCAGUGGCGAACGGGUGAGUAACACGUGAGCAAUCUGCCCUGGACUCUGGGAUAAGCGUUGGAAACGACGUCUAAUACCGGAUACGAGGCGUGGGGGCAUCCCCAACGCCUGGAAAGAACUUCGGUCCAGGAUGAGCUCGCGGCCUAUCAGCUUGUUGGUGAGGUAACGGCUCACCAAGGCGACGACGGGUAGCCGGCCUGAGAGGGUGACCGGCCACACUGGGACUGCGACACAGCCCAGACGCCUACGGGAGGCAGCAGUGGGGAAUAUUGCACAAUGGGCGCAAGCCUGAUGCAGCAACGCCGCGUGAGGGACGACGGCCUUCGGGUUGUAAACCUCUUUUAGCAGGGAAGAAGCGAAAGUGACGGUACCUGCAGAAAAAGCACCGGCUAACUACGUGCCAGCCGCCGCCGUAACAC